GAUGAAGAACGCAGCGAAAUGCGAUAAGUAAUGUGAAUUGCAGAAUCCAGUGAAUCAUCGAAUCUUUGAACGCACAUUGCGCCCGCCAGCAUUCUGGCGGGCAUGCCUGUUCGAGCGUCAUUUCAACCCUCGACCUCCCUUUGGGGAAGUCGGCGUUGGGGACCGGCGGCACACCGCCGGCCCUGAAAUGGAGUGGCGGCCCGUCCGCGGCGACCUCUGCGUAGUAAACCAACUCGCACCGGAACCCCGACGUGGCCACGCCGUAAAACACCCAACUUCUGAACGUUGACCUCGAAUCAGGUAGGACUACCCGCUGAACUUAAGCAUAUCAAUAAGCGGAGGA
rnacentral:misc_RNA from 1 species